GAAGACACCGAAUUUGCUCUUGAUAACGACGUUCCAAUAGUCUAAUUAACACAAAAAAGAGAAAAGAAAACCAUUUAAUUAAUUACUUUUCAACAGAGAAAAUCAAACCAAUCAAAACAGAAAAGAAUAGAAAAUAAAAAGAAUGACUAAUUUUUCUUUCUUUUUCUGGAUCUUUCCAAUUUCUCCUUUGUCUUCACUUGUUUUCCAUUUUAAUUUACAUGACCGUUUAGUUACCAUUCCAAUUUAAUUUGUUUCUUUUUCUUGAUUUAAGUUAAUUUUCUAAUUAAUCAAGAUGAUUAACAAUUAGUAACACAAAUCAAAGGAAAUAGUGAGUGUGAGAAAUUCACAUUCACAUUUCCCAACAAUUGACAAAAUCAAACAAAAGGUAUGAAAUUGAUCCAAUUCAAUUAAUCUGGUAUCUUCUUGAUUCAAUCUCCAUCAAUCUUGUUACUUUUUGCAAAUCUUGGAUUCUACAUUCAAGUUGAUAUAAACACUCAAUUCUGAUAUUUUUUUGUUCUGAUUUUUUACUCAAUUUUCAUGAUAUUAUAACACGAUGAUGAUUAUGAUGAUGGAUAUGGUGAUCCGAUGGGAAAAACAGUUGAUUAUGAGUAUCAAUAUGGGCCAGAAGAAGGUGAAUUAAGUUUUCUACAAGCAAACAAAUUGGUAUAAACAUAUUAUCAUAUUAAGGUAGCAGGAUUAAUUUAUCAUCAUACAUAUUAUACAACCAUCAUCAUCAUCAGUAAAUCGUGAUCAAAAUCAAAUAAUCAACAAUAACAACAAGAGAAAUGAAGAGAGAGAGAGAGAGAAAAAAAGUAAAAGCUUGUAGACAUGCUUCUGGCUUUUGUUGUGGUUAGUCAAUAACAUCAUUAUCUUCAUCUUAAUCAUAAUCAACAACAAUUACUGACGAAGGCGAUGUAUUUACUAUGAGAAACAUACAGAUACAAUUUAGAAAGUGCAACUUGGUGAUUGGGUUAAUAGGAUGAAUCUUUUUCCACUUUUUCCUGGACUUGGAAUGGAAAAUUUUCUUCAUCAUCAUUAACCCAUUGAGAGAUUUUUUUUUCUAUUCACCAAAAACCAGGACGAAGGUCCAAGCUCAAUGAUGAAUCGUGAGAGAAGUGUUGACAACGAUUUUGAAGGGACAUCUCAUCUUCAUUUACAAGCUCAUCAAGAACAUCAUUAUCUUCAUUAUCAUCAUUUUAUGAUGAUGGAGUAACCGUUAUGUGUAUGUCCGUAAAUAGAUUCCUUUCUAACCAUUAAUUUCUCCUUGGUGAAAAAAUUAGUGGGCGAAUAACAAGUGCUAACCACUCACUCAAGAAAAGAUGAGAUAAUACUUGAUAUUUUUGAUUUUGUUCUAAAAAGAUGAUGAAUAUAAAUAAUCUCAGCCUGGAUAUUUGAAGAAUCACCUUGCCCACCAGAAUAACGAACAAAAAAAUGAUAAAAUUCUCUAAAAUGUAAAAUUAAAAGAUGACGAUGAAAAAGGAAAAGUCAAAAAUGAAAGAAAUCAAGAUGAUGAUGAAGAAGAAACAAAAUUUGUAGGAGUUGAUGGACAUUGAGGUUGACCCUAAGUUCACUCUUCAAAAUCAACUGUCAAUUUAGUUGAACAUCAAUUGCAAUAAUGAUGAUAUCAACAUCGUGAACAUCAUCACCAUCAUCAUCAUUGUCAUCCCAAUUUUUUUAUUCAUCACAAUAACAACAAUAAUGAUGAUGGUAACAAGAAAGUAAAAAAGGGAAAUCCAAAUUCAUAAUUAGCUUAUCAACAAUUAAAGAAAGCAAAAGGAUGGACCCAUGAGUCGCAGCCACUUUUUGUAUACUUUUUCUGCGCUCGAUUAUCAUGAUAAUCAAAAUAGGACGAGUUAGUGAAAUUGAUGAUGAUCUUAAUGGAAUCAGAAAUAGAGGUUAAUUUAAAAGUGGUGACAAUAAUCACUACAAUGAUGAUGAUGAUGAUGAUGACCAUAAAGAGGAAGAUACAAGUAAAGAAGGAAAAGAAAAGACACCAAAAGCUGAAGGAAAUUCAUAACCAGGGAGAAAAAGAAAAUGUUCUGACGAUAAUAAUAAUGGUGAUGAUGAUGAAAGAACAAGUUUCAUCAUCAACAAUGUUCCAGGAAGAAGAAAAUAUCAACCAAGGAAGAUGAUAAAAGAAGACAGAAAAAGUUACUUUUUCCCUCGAAAAAAAGUUGAAUCUUUUUUUACUGAAUUUCCAACUAUUACUCAAUUUGAUGGAUAUAAUGAUUUAGUUAUUAGUGAUAAUAAUAAUGAAAACAAUUUCUUUCGUCGUGAUUAUUGUUAUUAUCACUCAUAACAUUCUAAACCUUAACUAAUUGUAAUUAGUAAUUUUUAAUCUCUUGUAAUGUAAAUCAAAUAAUCAAAUCAAUUAGAAAGAUUAUGAGAUUUACAGAUUACAUGAUUUUCUAAAUAAUCUUGUCCUACUUGUUGGAAGAUGAUGGGAGAGCAAAAGAUGAGGAAAGAUGAACAAACGCCUUUUCCUGUUGAUAAUCAUCAUCAUCGUUAAUUAUAAUCUCCAUCAACACCGAGAGCGAUUUUAUAAGGAAAAUGGGAAAUGGUAAUGUGAAAUUUGUUUCGCAUGAUGAUCGUCAACCUCUUGGGCAAGUAAAUCGGCUCGUGCAUUGGCCUCACUUAGAUUGACCCUUAGCUGAUCUCGUUCGGCUUUAGUUUGUUCAUACAAGAUCCUGUUAAUCAAGAAGAUAAUCAAGAUAAUUAGUUGAUCGUCCAAAGGGAAUUGAAAAUGUAUCAACAAAAAGUUGGAGGACAUCAAAAUAUAUUCAAAUUAGAUUGGAGAUCCAGUUUAUUUUCAAUUAAAAAGUGAAAUGAAAAGGUUAAUCAACAACCCGUUCGUUAUAAUUGUUGCCUUUUUAUCAACAAUUUAUUGCUAUUUAAAGUGAUGAUUAGGCAAAGGAGCGUCCAGUUGAUUAUAAUCAUUAAUUUCGUGUUCAAUUUUCUUGAUUUCAGUUGAUUAGUAGAUUGUUUCAAAAGUGUCUUCAUCUUUUUUUAUAUAUAAAAUAUUAAUCAUAAUCAUCUUGAUACAAUUAUCUUAAUAAUUAUUCUGAUGAUAUGAUAAUUAUUUUAAAUAAAUCAUCAUGUUAACAAUUUAUUACUUAUUGGUAAUCAUGAUGAUUAUCUGAUGAUGAAAGUUAAUCAAUCAACAAUCAAGUAAACAUUAACCAAGUUUAUUAUUUAUCAUAUAUUAAUAUACAUAAAAUGAGUUGAUUCAGUUUCUCAUUCUGCUUUUAAUUAAGUUCCUAUUAAAUUACUUGUUGGUUAUUUGAUUGCUUGGAUUAACAUGUUAAUCAACAACCUUUUGGGAUUUUUAUUGUAAAUCUAAUCAACAUGAGUUAACAACUAAUUUAACUUAAUUGAUUGAAAGUUUAUCACCAAUCCUUUUUAAAUAUUAAUCAUCGUUUCUAAUUGCUAUCAUCUUGAUUGUGAUUUAAUGUAGCUGAACAACUGAAUUUAUUUUAUUAAUUACACUAAUUAGUUGUUUAUUUUACAGAUUUAUUAACUACAAUUAAUGAAAUAUUGAGCUGUACUUUUAAUUGUUUGGAUUAGAUGGAAAUUGUUGUUGAUAAAAAUGGAAUCAAUUUGAUUGCUACUUAAUUAAUUUACCGUUGAAUUGGAUUGAAAAUUAACUGAAUUUGAUAGAUUUGCGGUAAUAUUGAUCAAUUUCUGUUUACCUUUCUAACUUAAUUGUUAAUCUUUAAUUUGAUUCUUAUUUCAUUUUCCGCGUAAUUAUGAAUUACAAUCAACUAACUGGAUCCAAUCUCAUUUUGAUUGAUAUAUUGAUUUGAUUCUUGAUUAUUAUUAUCAUUAUUUUGUUUCAGAAGCAAUUUAAUAAUAAUCUGACCGAGGGAAGGACUAAUCGAUUGAGCAAAACCACAAAAUCUUAAUUGUGUGCUAAUUUAUCAAUUGCAAUCAAAAAAAAAGAUGCGAAAUGAUUUACAAGCUGAUUGAUUUAAUAAUUGUUACAACAAGUAUAUAAUUAUCAACUCAAGUAAAUCAAUAUAUUGAAGGCAAGAAAAGUUGGAUGAACAAAAAGUUAAUCAUUAUAUGGAUAUACAAUUAAUAUUAAACUAAUUAAUACGCCUGUUGAUGGUUAUCACUAAUUACAAUUAAUUUAAAUUGUAAUUUUCCAAUUGAUGACUCGAAGGAUUUAGUUGUCCCAAUAAUGUUUCAAAUAAGGUGUUGAUUAUAACGGAUCAACCAAACAGUUACAAUCAUCACAAAGCCUGAAAACAAACUGGAAACAAGAAGUUGAUACAACAUUAAUCACAAUCAACACACACGCAAAUCAGUUGGGGUGUUAAUGUAUAUCAACACAAUUACACUUUUAAUGUUAAUUAAGGAUAGACAC